CCUACGGGUGACAGCAGUGAGGAAUAUUGGUCAAUGGACGAGAGCCUGAACCAGCCAAGUAGCGUGAAGGAUGACUGCCCUAUGGGUUGUAAACUUCUUUUAUAUGGGAAUAAAAUGUUCCACGUGUGGGAUUUUGUAUGUACCAUAUGAAUAAGGAUCGGCUAACCCCGCGCCAGCAGCCGCGGUAAUACGGAGGAUCCGAGCGUUAUCCGGAUUUAUUGGGUUUAAAGGGAGCGUAGGUGGAUUGUUAAGUCAGUUGUGAAAGUUUGCGGCUCAACCGUAAAAUUGCAGUUGAAACUGGCAGUCUUGAGUACAGGAGAGGUGGGCGGAAUUCGUGGUGUAGCGGUGAAAUGCUUAGAUAUCACGAAGAACUCCGAUUGCGAAGGCAGCUCACUGGACUGCAACUGACACUGAGGCUCGAAAGUGUGGGUAUCAAACAGGAUUAGAUACCCCUGUAGUC
rnacentral:rRNA from 1 species